GGUAGAAGAGAUUUUUUUUUUUCCAAUCAUUCGUUUUAUAAUACUCCAUUGAGAACUAAAAUAUCCGUUUCAAAUUAUGUAUUGAUGGAACUAAACAACGUCUCAUAUUUUGAUUGCCACUUUAAGAACCUAUCUUGAUAAUUUGUCAUGUCACUGUAAGGGCUCCAAGACAAAAAUAGUCAGCUUAAUUAGCAGAGAAGACUCUGUCGUUGUUACUUAUUGUAAGCCUGCAUAAAAUUUGUCAAAACAAAUGGUUAGGGGCAUAUGGUCACAAGCUAAAAAAUAAUAAUAAAAAAAAAAUAAAAAAAUAAAAACAUUUACCCUUAGGCUCAAAUCUAAGCUUCACAUUUUUGGAUUGACUUUCAAUUUUGAAUGUAGCAAGUAGCCAAGUCACCAUAGCCCAUAAACAAAGACAAAGUCAAAUAUAUUUAUAUGUAUAUAUAUCCUAGUUCAAUGUUA
rnacentral:lncRNA from 1 species